AGUGACCAUAGAAGAAGUGGUAAAAGUAUACACGGAAGAAAAGAAGAAAACAACAACAAUGUACAAUAUUUUCAAGCCGCCGAUGAGAAACUCGAUGCGACUGCAUGGUGAAAUGGGAAUUCUCGAAUGGAAAUUGAGACGAGCAAUUCCCCACCGCCUCCGAAAAAACAAAAAUAGGUGUUCAUUUUCUUGUGGCCAUGGAUGAUUACAGCACUCACAAGCAUCCUCAUCCCAAUGAGAUGUAAUACGUACAACUAUCUUGAUGUUGAUGGUGAUGUUGAUGGUGAUGGUGGGGGGUUCUAGAUUUAGAUGGAUACUACUCAGAUUAAACAUUACUAGUAGUACUUGUUUGUCAAGGCCAGCCAUAUUCCUCUAAGCCAUGGCAACCAAAGAACAAGUGGUAAUAGUAGUGGGAGCUGGGCCGUCGGGGCUUGCAACUGCAGCAUGCUUGAACAACCUUUCCAUUCCAAACAUAGUCCUUGAGAGAGAAGAUUGUUUUGCUUCCUUGUGGAAGAAAUAUUCCUACGACCGCCUUCAUCUUCACCUGGCUAAACAGUUCUGUCAACUUCCUCUCAAGCCGUUCCCGACCACCUACCCGACUUACGUGCCCAGAGACCAGUUCUUGCGUUAUUUAGACGACUACGUCUCCCAUUUCAACAUUUGUCCCUUGUACCAAAGAUCGGUGGAGUCGGCGCGGUACGAUGAAGCCGCCGAAGCAUGGAUUGUCAAGGCGAGGAAUUUGGGUUCUUCCGAUUCCGAGGAGAUGGAGGAGUAUUCCAGCAAGUGCUUGGUGGUGGCCACGGGAGAAACCUCCGAUGCAUUCAUCCCGCAGCUUGAAGGUCUCAACACUUACCUGGGCGAGGUCAUCCAUAGCACCCGAUAUAAAAACGGCAAGUCCUAUGAAAACAAGAAUGUUUUGGUUGUUGGGUCUGGAAAUUCUGGUAUGGAAAUUGCAUUUGAUCUAUCAAACUACGGUGCGAAGACUUCCAUCGCCGUCCGUAGCCCGCUUCACAUUCUGUCAAGGGGAAUGGUAUACAUAGGACCGGUUUUGUUGAAAUAUUUUUCUCUGAAUACGGUUGACUGGCUGGUGUUGAUGCUGAGCAAGCUGUGGUAUGGAGGAGACUUGUCCAGGUACGGAAUCAAAAGGCCAGAGGAAGGUCCCUUCACCAUGAAAGUUAAGUAUGGCAAAUACCCCGUCAUUGACGUUGGAACCUGUCAGAAAAUCAAAUCCGGCGAGAUUCAGGUACUGCCGGCAGUAGCAAGUCUUGGAGGCAAUGAUGUGGUGUUUGAGGAUGGCAAGUCUUACCCAUUUGAUGCUGUUAUUUUUGCAACUGGCUUUAAAAGAUCGACGAAUAAGUGGCUCCAGGUACAAUUAUAAUUCGCCUUGCACAGCUGCUUUUUGAACUUCUUGCCCGUCUUCCUUCAACUUGCCAUCUUCAUAAUAUUUGCCCCACCUCCACCUGGCCAGGAAUGCGGGGCUGAUGAUCUCCUGACUGACGACGGAUUUGCAAAACCUGCCUUCCCUAACAACUGGAAGGGUACCAAGGGAUUGUACUGCGCUGGUUUGGCAGGAAGAGGAUUGUAUGGAGCUGCUUUGGAUGCCCAAAACAUAGCCAAUGAUAUCAAACGGGUUCUACAGUUGUGACUUCUCGAUAUCCAGAUUUAUAAUUACAACAUGUUGCAAAAUUUGUUAGUAUAAGGUUUACAGAGAGUGAAACCGUUAAUGGUUUUGGGAAAGACAUCAAGACUUACAGAUAAUAAGAGUUUUUUUUUUUUAUCAAAAUGACAACACUUUAUUAAUAUUCUAACCAGAUUACAUAAAGGGUGGGCAACUGCCCUUACAAUCUGCUUGAACAAGCUCAAGCAACCAACUUGAGAAGCUAUCUUUCCAUUCAGCUGAGCAUUUCAUAUGUAUCGCCAUCUUAGCUAAUGUAUGACUGAUAGAGUUGUUACAAGUCAACCCCUUUUUAGUGAAGGUAAAGCAACAUUUAUCAAA